ACACAAGAAGGGAGGUGGUCCGAGAUUUUGAGUGACUUAUGGACAUGUGAGGUGGCUGCUAGCUAGCAGCACCAGGCUGAGGAUUCACCUGCGAGCGCUGGCGAAUUCCAAGCAGCCACCCGGCCCCCGAGCCCUUGGUUUGUCCAACCAGGAACUAUGGCUCGGGGGCCGCCCAUU
rnacentral:sRNA from 1 species